rnacentral:rRNA from 1 species
UACGGGGGGGGGCAAGCGUUGUUCGGAAUUACUGGGCGUAAAGGGCUCGUAGGCGGCCAACUAAGUCGGAUGUGAAAUCCCCAGGCUUAACCUGGGAACUGCAUCCGAUACUGGAUGGCUUGAAUCCGGGAGAGGGAUGCAGAAUUCCAGGUGUAGCGGUGAAAUGCGUAGAUAUCUGGAGGAAUACCGGUGGCGAAGGCGGCAUCCUGGACCGGCAUUGACGCUGAGGCGCGAAAGCCAGGGGAGCAAACGGG